UAUCACCCUCCCUUGAUGGGAUUAUGAGCUUGGCUUCUCAGAGGCACUGUCUGCUCCAGCUGGCUCAAACAGGGAGCAGUGUUCCUAAAGAAGGAAGACCUACAGAGGAGAAAUGUUCUGAAUGUCAGUGGGAUCCUUAGAAGAGCAAGUACAUCUGGAGAAGUGGCCCCUGAGAACUGUAAUAGAGAAGAAGGUGGAGAGCAAAUUUAUUAUUGAAAUGCAACGCACUAAUAACACUGAAAUAUCUUGGAGAAUGUAUCCUGAACAAUGAGCCCAAACCAGGCACGUAUAGUACAUGAUUUCAUGGGUACCUGAUGGAGGAGCACAGGUUUAAUACUUCAUGUUGGGAAUACUUUAGGGAACACAGCUGUCAACAAAGCAAGCAUGAGUUCGACGGAUCAAAGAUGAUGGCUGCUGCAAGGCAGAACAACGUGAAGGUGGAAUGUCAUGAAGGCCUCUUCUGCUGGUAAGCUGGACAUGGUGAUGCUGAGCUGGUCACCUAAAACCAGGAACAACUAAACAUAUGAUUAAGUCUGGGGAUGUAUUUCACUGCUGUUCUGUAUAAGAGACUGAAAUAUCUUACAUUUAGAUAUUGUACACAAGAAGGAUAAGAGAAGAAAUAUAAUUUUUUUUGUUAAAAAUCAGUUGCAUAUUUUUUCCACACGUAUAGAAAUAUAACUGAAAACUUUCUGUAAAACUUUCUGUUGCUAUUGUUGAUGGACAAAAUCCUUAUUUGUGAUACCAUCAGAUAUUUAUGAGAAAAGCUAAUACUAAAGAGGAAUAAAAAAAAAAAGAUGGACACACAGCAAGGAUGUUUGGUAGUUUGUUGGAGACCUUUCAUAUAGUAUGUGGCCAUGAAUUCUAAAAUGUUUCUGUUCACCAAAGCAAGUAAAACUCCUAUUGUCAGAACUCUGUAAUGAUUUCAGUGUUGUAACAUACCUGAAAAUGAUUAAGCAGCAGAUUUUUUUUUCCUUUUCUCUUCUGUUCUUUUUUUUUUAAAGAUAUACUGAAACUGAAACAAAUUUCCCUACACUUAAAGUAGUUAUUGAAAGGUAUAACUCCUCAAACAUAACAGUUUUAAAAUGUGUAUUUAACUUUAUGUGGGAGAACAAAGAAACAUAAGUAUAAUUGGUCUUUAAAGACAAGAGAAAGGAGGAGAGAAAAUGAAGGGGAAGUGAUUUUAUUUCCUAAGAAACCUGUCUUGACUUGCUGUAAGCCUUUCAAAUCUACUUUACUCAUCUAAAGCUGUACUGAUUGAACUGUAAUAAUGGUGACAUCACUGUUUUGUUUACACUGAAAUGUCUUUUGAGGGCAUCACAACAGAGAUGGUUUAAGGACAGGUAUUGAUUAUGCCUCAUCUUUGGAAUUUGGUAAUUAUGAUGGUGCACCUCAAACAUGCUGCACUUGUCCUCUAGUCUGUUUUUUCCUGAGCUUUAGAUUAUAAUCUCCUCAGGCCUGUGAUUAUUUCUUCAUAAGCAUUUAAAAACCACGUAGAACAAUAAAUCUCCAGCAAAGAUACAAGAAUAACUCUGCUCCUUGGCCAUACUAAUAUACAAUAAAUAUUUAGUCACCAUUUUUGCAGGUUGCUAUUGGUUUCUAUUUGAUCCUGUUGUUCAU